rnacentral:rRNA from 1 species
GACGAACGCUGGCGGCGUGCUUAACACAUGCAAGUCGAACGGAAAGGCCCUGCUUUUGUGGGGUGCUCGAGUGGCGAACGGGUGAGUAACACGUGAGUAACCUGCCCUUGACUUUGGGAUAACUUCAGGAAACUGGGGCUAAUACCGGAUAGGAGCUCCUGCUGCAUGGUGGGGGUUGGAAAGUUUCGGCGGUUGGGGAUGGACUCGCGGCUUAUCAGCUUGUUGGUGGGGUAGUGGCUUACCAAGGCUUUGACGGGUAGCCGGCCUGAGAGGGUGACCGGCCACGUUGGAACAGAAAAGCGGCCGAGCCCCCUGGGGGGGGCGAGGGGGGGAAAUUUUGCAAAGGGGGGGGAAGCCUGAUCCAGAAGCCCCGGGUGGGGGAUAGGGGCUUUGGGGUUGAAACCCUUUUUCCCGGGAAGCAAAGCGAGGGUGGGGGUAUGGGGAAAAAAAGCACGGGCUAACUACG